CCCCUAGCAACAAUUUGUAAUACUAAUUAAAAUGGCACCUGGCAUUAGUUGUCUUUGAAUCCUGGUGACUUAAUUCUGGAGAGAUGUUACGAGCAGAAGGAUUGUAGAGGGUGUGCAUAUUCCAGGAUAUUAAUGUUGGAGUAGGGAAUCAUGGAUGGAAGCUUGGCUUCAUAAAGUAAAGAAUAGCAUGCUAUUCCAGAUGUUUACCAAGAAGAAGUAAAUAACUCUUGUUGAUGUCUAUCAAUGAUUUUUUUAAUGUACAUUUAUUUUCAAUCCUGUUUCACUAUUAUGAAACUACUACCACAUAGUAUUAUCACAACCAGCAGUUAAUAUUCACCUUCCCCAUUUCAUCAGAUAGUCACACAGCCAUGUGCGGUUUGAGCCAUGAAGGAUGUGGUAUUUUUAUAUAGCUCAUGCUAAGAUCAGUUAUUUUUAAGAUAUGGAGGAAAAAAGCAGCACCAUAUCCUAAAUGGAAUUUUUCCAGUGGAUAUGGAAAAAAAACCUUAUGACUGCCAGUUCUUCAGCUUUUAUCCUCAGAGAAGUCAGUAAGAUAUAUUUGUAUUCAAGCCAUGCUGGCAGUAAUGUCUGUGGUUAAAGUUGUCCAAUGUUGAGAACUGUGUGUAUUGGGGGUAUGUGUAUUAUGUUGGUGCUUAUAUAAAACAGAGCUGUAUAGCUUACAGGAAAUGGAGCAAAACAUGCCUUCAUCAAAAGGGCAAGUUCUUCCUGGUAUAGAGCUUAAGCUCUGAAAUUGAGGUAUGUGCUGAUUUUUGACAGCUAUAAUAUGGUGGUAACCUUACCUAGAUUUUUUUUUUUUUCUUCCUUCAAAAAAGCUGUCCUUUCAUGUGUGUGAUUGGCACUGGGCUUGCUUUGUGUUUAGCUUCUCUAAUCAAGGGAAUUUAAGCUUCUAUUCUCCCUGCAUUAAUUCAGCAGUCAUGGGAAAUCUCAAACAAGCCAGAUCUUAUUGCAGCAGUUGACACAAAUAAAAGCAGUUGUGCUUUUAUUUAUUUAUUUUUGAUGCUGGAUGCUGAUUAAAAGUUUCCAAGCAUCCUUUAGCUAUGUUAUAAAGCCAACCAGCAGAGAGCAGGGCAGCUGCCAAGGAAGGGAGAUGCUGGUGGACACAGGACAAGAUCACAGUGGGAAGCAUCAGUGUGUGUAACUCAGAAAGCUGGGAAAGGUGUAAACAGAUCCCCAAUUUAUCUAUAGGGUGGGCUCUCCAAACACUGCUUUAUUGGCCAGUGGCUCCUGCUUUACUAACCUCUAACCUCUGCAGUACUCAGAGGUGCUGCCCACCAGCCAGCCUUGUCUUUGAACCUCCCUUGGCUCCUGCCACCUCAAAGACUUGCAGUCAGAGUCCUGUGUUUUGCUUGGGACCUCACCUCUCAGCAGGAUGCCUGCAGCAGGGAAAACUGAUCUACCCUGAGAACAUAGACAUAUUUGAAGGCAAUACCCCUAGGACUAGAAACCUAUUGCUUUCAGUUUCAGGAGCUGUCCAUCACUUGUCAAGAAAUGUGGAUAAAACAUCUUCCCACCCCCCAACUUCUGGUCAUGCAGUAGUUGAAUGCUCCCUGCAAUCACAUACAUAUAUUUGUUUUCUGUUAUUUUCCAGACUGCUGUUGAAUGAGUGAUAGCACAAUUCUAGCUCACUGUUGAUCUGGUUUUAUUGUUGAGUGUGUCGAGAACAAACAUCAUAAUCAGGAUGAUACAGGUUCAAAUAUUUUUGUCUACUCCCCAGGUUAGGUGUGCCUGCCACUUCUUUUACAGUAAUGGCCUGCUGAAAUUGGAGUAGAGAGCCAUGCAAACUCCUGGACACUGGAGGGAAGAGAGUUUGCUAUUUUUUGUGUCUUUACAUUAUUACUGAUGACUAUGUAGAUAUAAUGGCUUAUCUGGAAGCUAGAGUAGUAUUUAUUUCUCUUUUUCAGCUGUGUUAUUUCUAUGGUGUCAACACAUGGCAUUUGCUCGUAAAUAGGAAGACAAACUGAAAGCUCUUUGGGAGCAAAGGGAAUUAAGAAAAUGCUUCAAAAAGAAAAAGGAAAAAAAGAAAUUUGGAUAAUGGAAAGAUUCAGUUUUCACUUUGUUGUAUCUGAAGGAGGCAAAUGUGCUUGUUCCAUCGUUGAAAUUACUGCAGCAGAGAAUAUUGAGACAAAGGAUUAAAUCCAAUUACUGCUUCACUUCUGAAGAGAUUGUUUUUGAAGCUGAAUUACAAUAAAAACCAGCGCUGUGAAA